rnacentral:rRNA from 1 species
GAUGAACGCUGGCGGCGUGCCUAAUACAUGCAAGUCGAGCGAACAGACGAGGAGCUUGCUCCUCUGACGUUAGCGGCGGACGGGUGAGUAACACGUGGAUAACCUACCUAUAAGACUGGGAUAAAUUCGGGAAACCGGAGCUAAUACCGGAUAAUAUAUUGAACCGCAUGGUUCAAUAGUGAAAGACGGUUUUGCUUUCACUUAUAGAUGGAUCCGCGCCGCAUUAGCUAGUUGGUAAGGUAACGGCUUACCAAGGCAACGAUGCGUAGCCGACCUGAGAGGGUGAUCGGCCACACUGGAACUGAGACACGGUCCAGACUCCUACGGGAGGCAGCAGUAGGGAAUCUUCCGCAAUGGGCGAAAGCCUGACGGAGCAACGCCGCGUGAGUGAUGAAGGUCUUCGGAUCGUAAAACUCUGUUAUUAGGGAAGAACAAAUGUGUAAGUAACUAUGCACGUCUUGACGGUACCUAAUCAGAAAGCCACGGCUAACUACGUG